GGGGAUGUAGCUCAACGAUAGAGCGCACAGUAAAAGUCAGGCAUGGCGCGUCGGCAGUAAUGAGACUCAAAGUGUUUGGUUUAGCGAACUUCUGUGAGGUGCUGGUUCGAAUCCAGCCGUCUCCA